rnacentral:rRNA from 1 species
UGGGGAAUUUUCCGCAAUGGGCGCAAGCCUGACGGAGCAACGCCGCGUGAGGGAGGAAGGCCUGUGGGUUGUAAACCUCUUUUCUCAAGGAAGAAGGUCUGACGGUACUUGAGGAAUCAGCAUCGGCUAACUCCGUGCCAGCAGCCGCGGUAAGACGGAGGAUGCAAGCGUUAUCCGGAAUUAUUGGGCGUAAAGCGUCCGUAGGCGGUUGUUUAAGUCUGCUGUUAAAGACUACAGCUCAACUGUGGGAUGGCGGUGGAAACUGAAUGACUAGAGUACGGUAGGGGUAGAGGGAAUUCCCAGUGUAGCGGUGAAAUGCGUAGAUAUUGGGAAGAACACCAGUGGCGAAGGCGCUCUACUGGGCCGAGACUGACGCUGAUGGACGAAAGCUAGGGGAGCGAAUGGGAUUAGAUACCCCCGUAGUCC